ACGGAAGGCAGCAGUGGGGGAUAUUGCACAAUGGGGGAAACCCUGAUGCAGCGACGCCGCGUGAGUGAAGAAGUAUUUCGGUAUGUAAAGCUCUAUCAGCAGGGAAGAAAAUGACGGUACCUGACUAAGAAGCUCCGGCUAAAUACGUGCCAGCAGCCGCGGUAAUACGUAUGGAGCAAGCGUUAUCCGGAUUUACUGGGUGUAAAGGGAGCGUAGACGGCGAGGCAAGUCUGAUGUGAAAGCCAUGGGCUCAACCCAUGAACUGCAUUGGAAACUGUCUUGCUAGAGCGUCGGAGAGGUAAGCGGAAUUCCUAGUGUAGCGGUGAAAUGCGUAGAUAUUAGGAGGAACACCAGUGGCGAAGGCGGCUUACUGGACGAUAACUGACGUUGAGGCUCGAAAGCGUGGGGAGCAAACAGGAUUAGAUACCCUGGUA
rnacentral:rRNA from 1 species